UAUUCGAGAGACCUACAUAUGCCUGGUGUAGUUUUGGUGUUCGGGGAUGCAAAAAUCAUGUUCGUUCACCAUCGGCGGCGGGCGUUUUCUACCACAAGAUUCAACAGGAGAGUGCGCGAAAACGAAUGUGGUUCGAAACACUCGGUUAUUUGAGGUAGCAGUCGUGUCGUGUGUGCUGAGCUCAUUUUGCUGCCAAUGACUACGAAGAUGCCGUAGAAGGUGAAUUGCGAAGACGUCCGAAGCACACUAAUGCUCAGUACCCAGUGAUUUUGCUUCACCGAGGUGACGACUUCAACACAACGUCUUAGGGGCCUUCCAGUGUUGAAGUGGCGCUAGACUGUUUCGUGUGUGUGCGAUCCAGGCACUCAAGUUGACAUGACAGAAAUAGCUGAAAGCAGGUGCAGAACUUUAGUAUGACGUCAACAAGAGGAGAAGAAACGGAUGAGAACUACUAGCUUGUUUGAAGGGUAUAAGAAUACUUCCUGUUGAGAUGUAGUUAUGACUUUAUGACUAAGGAACGUUAAUUAAUUUUCUAGAGAUGCAUCCUCUACACUUGAAUGCCCAGUGAAACAGCAAACGUUCAUUGUCUUUGAAGCCCCACUACUGGAAUCGUUCAAUGUGUGUCAGAGCUGCAGUGCCUAAAUUCCCCUGAGUUCCCCUAUCUCGGACGCAACUGUCAUUUCUCUUUAUUGCUCUUCCGAUCCUACCUUCUCAGAGAUUAAUGUGGUUCACCAUACACUGCAUGGGCGCUGCCUUUCUCUAUACUCAUGCUUUCGGUUUCUUGUUCUAUUGAAUAAAUCUUCACUUGAGUUUGCAGCCAUCACGCUGUCGACUGUGUCUGCCCCUCAUCUAUAUUGAUGUGGUGUAACGGUAUAGCACAUCAACAUGCCAACAACCUACCAACAACUACCAAACAACCUUGCCCAGUCCUACUUUUGGAUGGAAACUACACGAUGUGGUAACAUCCACAUAUAUAUAAUGUUUCAGUCGACGGAGAUUUGCUGUUUUUGUACAACCUUCAUUGUACAUUGUCUCACUUAGCAUGCCUGAAGAAAUGUUCUGAUCUUCAUCAAGAUGACAGGUCAUUGUUUGAUCUGCAGCAUUAUUGU